UACGAAGGGGACUAGCGUUGUUCGGAAUCACUGGGCGUAAAGCGUCUGUAGGUGGUUCGAAAAGUCCACUGUUAAAAAUUGAGGCUUAACUUCAAAGAUGCCGUGGAAACUUUCAAACUAGAGUAUGGUAGGGGUAGAGGGAAUUUCCAGUGGAGCGGUGAAAUGCGUAGAUAUUGGAAAGACCACCGAUGGCGAAGGCACUCUACUGGGCCACUACUGACACUGAGAGACGAAAGCUAGGGGAGCAAAUGGG
rnacentral:rRNA from 1 species